rnacentral:lncRNA from 1 species
CCGUCUUCAUCUCAGCCAACGGCAGCAACUCCGAAUUCCCUGCAUCCUUCCUCCCGAACUAAUCCAGCAUUUUUUCGGAUGGACCCCAGCCUCCAAGAUCCUCUCAAAUGCCCGCGUCUCGCAUCACUCCCCUGUUCCGAGAUCCAUCUUUAUCCAAGCAACCACCGCAACCCAGGAAAUCACGCGGCCAUGCAACUCCCCUCCACGAUAAACUCCCACUCAUGCUCUCCCCUGCAUCUCGGAUUACAAGCUUAUCCCCUAUUCCCAGUUCAUUCCCAGCCGAAUGCAGCCACCCCCUCGCGGACUCAAACCAACUGCUGGAUCCCCUGAGAACAUAGUUUAUCGCUUCAUUCCUUCCGCGUUCAAAGCUCAUUUCCUCUCAUCCCCAGCAUCCACGUAAGCUCUAAAUCCCAGCUCGUAUCCAGCCUCACAUCCAUGUUGAUCCGAUAUUCAUCUCAGCCAUGAAUAGCACCCCAACGUCUUCCGGAUCAUCAUCAUUCAAGCAUUCCCUUCCGCAUUGUUCUCCCAGCAAAACAAUAUCAUCUCCCAGCCGUCCCAGAUCCCGUUCAGAAUCCAAACUCCCACGUCUCCGUAUUCAUCCUCAUCCUCUCGAAUCAUCUGAUCAAGCUUCAUCUCCCAGCUCAUCUUAUCUUCAGCUUCGGAUCAGCGCCAUCCUCCUAGCAGUACAGCCUUGCAUCCGCUCCCAAGCUUGAUCCGAGUUCCUCCCGAGCUUCACGGCAUCCAACUGCAUCCUCCCCUGUUUCAAACAGAGUUAUCAUCCUGUUAGCAUCCCAAAUCUCCCAACUGUUUCCAUUCAGCAACAUCCCAUGCAUCCGAGAUCUUCUCAGCUUGCACCUUCAUCCCCUGCUUCGGAAUAAAGAAAUCCAACGCCAACCGUACGCAUCUUCCUCCGCUAAGAUCCCAGCCUUCCUGUUCUUAUCCACGGACAAGUUCACAAGUGAUCCUAUCAACACCA